CAUACGUUUUGGCGCAAUAUUUGAUCUGGUGAUCUAAACACCACACAACGUAUGUCGGUAAGAAUUAAAUCAAUUUAAACACAUGCCCCGUCAGAAGAUUUUAAGCAUCAAGACAAAUGUAUAGUGUCCUAAAUUAUUUGGGUAUGUACCCUUUCAAUAAAGUGAACAUUUUCUCCUAUAAAUAACCUAUAGUUUCUGUUAGUUUUACAUAACAAAUUUACAUUUAUACUUCGCUAUCUUUUUUACAAAGAAAAAUAUUAUGAAGAUGUCAAUGAGGUCAAUUGCUCUGGUUUUUCUUGUGUGCCUACUUGUCUUGUCAACAGAAGAAAUGGGUCCAAGAAAGGCAGAAGCUGGAAUUUUUAGCUCGAGGAAAUGCAAAACUCCAAGUAAAACGUUCAAGGGAAUAUGUACUAGGGACUCCAACUGUGACACUUCUUGUAGGUAUGAGGGAUAUCCAGCUGGAGAUUGCAAGGGUAUUCGUAGAAGAUGCUUGUGUUGUACACAUACUUAAACUCGAAAUAUCAACAAACUCAAUGUCGUGUACACCUUUCGUCCUAGAUUAGUAGUCACGUUAGUUUGAACUAUUAAGUUAGGGAGCUAGUACGUACACACAUAUAUCAAUCUAUGUUACUUCGUGUUGUAGCCAUGAACGUAUCUUGUUAUCGUGUUGUUGUUGUCGUCGUCGUCGUCCGUCGUUGUUGAAUUGGUGAAUUCUAGCUAGCUUCUAUGUAAAAAUAUCGGCAAUUGUACGUUGUCCAAGUUAUGGUGUUGUAAAAUAAAACUGUUUUGAUUAUGAAUGAAGCCUAGCUAACUUUCAGGUUGA